rnacentral:rRNA from 1 species
UCCCAUUUCGAACACAGAAGUUAAGCUCUCAAACGCCGAAAGUACUACGUUGGAGACGACGUGGGAGGAUAGGAAGAUGCCGGAA